GGACGAUGUGGCUGUGACAUGUAGCCCCGUUGACCCCCAGGAUUAAUUCGGCUGCUCUGGCGGGCUAGGUGGGUGUCCCUCUCUGCUCUCUGUGUGUCCUGAAGUAGGCACCUGGCUGUCCCUGAGAGAGACGAGCCUUCCUUUGGUCAAGGGCAUAUGAGUAACUGCACGGCCCUGCUUGAACCUCCAAACGAGCUCUCAAGAUGGAAGUUUGACGAGACCACGGGAUGCACUCAGG
rnacentral:snRNA from 1 species